GCGCUCUAUUUCCCACUCCCACACAAACUCCUCAAUCUUCUCCCGAUCUCCCUUUGCAAGCUUUCUCAAUCUUUAUUCCCUAACCCUAACCAAGAGGAAGAGGAAAAAGGGAUAUUUGAAGACACAAGAGAGAAGAACUCUCGCUGGGUACGAGAGACAGAGAGGGGGUUUUCUUUUCGGAGAGAAGAAAACGCACAGAAAAAAAGGGUUUUCCGGUUUUGGGAGAGAAUAAAACGCAGAGAGAGGUCACUGAUUUAGAGAAUGGAUUCCACAAAGAGGAAUUGUUGGCUGAUCAGAAAGGGGUCCACAAAUAGAGGUCACUAGUUCUGAGAAGGGCUGAGAUAGAGAGAGUUUUUUGGAGGGGUUUGGUGCUUCAGUUUGAGAAGAAGGUUCAUCCUAGAACAGAUGAAUAUGGAACUAGGAACCAUCGUGGUGCAACAUUAUUGAAAGAAGUGUGAAAUUUACCGACUGACCAGAGAAUUGUUGUACAAUGGAAUAAUGAAGGACAACCCAUUGGACGGGAAGGAGGCUUUUAGACUAAGUUUGACUUAGGGGGGAAAGAUCAUUCAAAAUGGAUUUUUAACUCAGUUAGUUCAAAGUGGAGAAAUUACAAAAGUGAUUUAAAGGCACUUAAUUUUGAUGAUAACAAAUCUCCCAUGGAGCUAUUGAGGAAUGUACCAGAAACUGUAAAUGCUGACCAAUUGGUUAAUCUUGUGCAAUUUUGGUACUCAAAAGAAGGGAAGAAACGUAGCACAAAAAAUAAGGCGAAUUGAAAGAAUCAAGGUGUACUCCAUACUGCGGGUCAAAAAAGUUUUGCAAGAAUUCGUGAUGAGAAGCAUAAAGAAAUUGGAGUGGAGCUAGACCGUGCAGACUUAUAUAUAAUUACUCAUAAACGCAGAGAUGGGGACCCUAUAGAUGACAUUGCAUGAGCUAUGAUUUAUAAAAUUGAGAGAAAAAAAUUAGAAUUCAAUACCUCCCAAAAUAUGAGUGACAAUAUCACUUCGGAUAACGACAUUUAUUCUCAAGUGAAGAAAAAAGAUAAACAGGGACAUGUUUUUGGGUUGAGAUUGCUUCCUACAACUUUUUCAGUUUCUUGUCUUUCUGGAGAAAUUAGGACAAGUUCUGAACAUGAUAAAAGAGUGCUUUCACUGAAAAAUAAAGUUGAUACGAUGCAAACCUUAAUUGAAAAACUUGUGUCAACCAUUCAAGAUUUACGUCCUGAGUUUGACAUGGAAGAUUGUACACUCCCUCCUUCACAGUCGAUGGAACAGGUAAUACAAAUAUUUAAAAUUUUAUACUGAAAAAUGAAUCACCACAACAAGGUAAAGUGAUAUACAAUUAAUGAUUUUAUUAUGAGUAUUUAUAAUUUGAUUAUUAAAUAAUUAUUUUUUUUAUCACAGAAAAUAACUCAGAAACUUAAAAUAGAGCUUGAGGGCUUGGAUCGGAAGAAGCAGCACUUAAAAUCUAGUGGAGUCUGAUAGUUUUUUUUUUUUAACCAUACAAUUUGAAUUCUUAAAGUAUGAUGGAGUCUAAUUUUUUUAGAUAAUAUUGUGGAAUUUUUUAUUUUGGAUACAAUUGAUUGGGAUGAUCAUGG